GACCUCCCUAAAAUCUUUCUUUGCCUUUCUCUCUUAACAGGGCCUUGCAAUGGCCAAAAAUGCCGUGGAGGUAACACGGAACAAUCCAGGUGUUGUGCAGCGAGUUACAGCUUGGAACAAAAUCCCAUGGAGAGAGAAAUACGUAUUUUUUACGGAUGGCUGAAUGUGCGACAGGGCCCGCUUGCAUUCAAGUAUCAGUGCAAUAAUCCCCCAUGAGGAUGCUGUGGGCUAUCUCCAGUCUUCGGAGACGGGGAUAUGGCAGCUCAAGCUGAAUGCAAAACAGAUGCUGUGCAGAAAGGUCCCUUACAAGGGGACAGUGAGAAACUGAAGAUGAAUGGAUGUGUGUAAACCAUGCAAACACAUUGACUCCCUCUAGUGGCUUUGACUCCAUAUGGAAGCUAAAGGCUCAUUCCUUCACCUCCAGCGACAGAGCGGCUCCCUUCUGCCAUCGGAGGAGAGAAAGGGGCAGAAGGAAGAGGAGCUGCAGAGGGAAACUUGGACCAUCUUCUCAUUGAUGUGAAGGGGUCUAGACCGGAGAGCUGAGAUCAGGUGAGACGAAUCCACUCGGUUUGGAGGGUGAUGAAAUGUUUGCAGCCACCUAAACCCCAGUGCUUUGAAUGGCCUAGAAGCCAUUUCAGGCUUUUUGAAGAGGCAGCGCUUGCAUUCUUUGUGUCAUUUUUGGUUUUCCCUUUGUAAAUGAAGCUAGCAAUGCCUAUUCCUGGCCAGUCUUUGUCUGCUGACUAUGUAAACUCCUGGGGCAGUGGUACGUUUUCUCUCCAUUUGCAGUAAAGAGCUUAGCUGCUCGCUCAUCCUCUCUUGGUUGGGCCUCCGGCUGCUGCAAGGGCACAACGGGAUCAUCAUUUUCAGUUUACAAACACAGGCAUCUCCUAUUUAGGAAAAUGAAAAACACACAAUUAGUAAAUCUUCAAAUCCCCAGCUGAGACAAUUACAACUCCAUGCCUGUGUAACUAACUAUAAGAUGUUGUUGGAUAACGUAAUCACAGCUUAACAUGGCUGCUGCUGAUCUCCUGGUUCAUAAUGAUUUCAUUUCCCCUCUCCCACCUCCUUUAUAUUUUCUAUUAUGUAAAACCCUAAGAACUAAUUACAAGUGGGUGGAUCAAAGAUUAUACAUUUUAAUUUUGCUUCCAGCCUCACCCACUCAAGACUAGGAAUCCGCAUAACCCAUUAAACUGUAGGUACUUGCUGACAGAAAGGGAACCAUCUGCUGAAUAACUUCUGUUAAUUAUUUUGGAACAUACUAGCAAGAAGAAAGUGCAAGCCUGUAAUGACCUUUCCCUUGGUGGCAGAAUCGACUGCAAAGUAGACAGUUGUGGCUAGAAGCCAAAAGUUAAUGGUUAGUAUUGGCACAAAAGACUCAAGCGUACUAGUACUUAUUAAUUUCCCCGUAGCGGAGAAAGUAUUCCAGGCAUCCUGAGUAUAAAACUUCCUAGCACCUGCACAAAACCAAGCUCCAAAAUAUUCGUUUAAAGCAUUAUUCAGAGUCCCUCAGAAAAUGUGGACUUCACAUGUUUACUUCCUUGUGGCGUUCUUUUCAUUUUGUCACAUCUGAUUUGGUCAAAUAACCUUUUGUUUUGUUUAGCAGUGAGCAAUAUUUGUACAGGGUUUUUCUGGCAAAUGAGAAUCACAAUUAUUUCAUGUCCCUGAGGCACAGAGGUCCAUGGAAACUUAUGCCCCUUGUAGACACGUGGUCUGGUCACUCAUAGGUUUUAUUUUUGUCUAUCUUGUCUGCUUCAGCAUAGCAGAAUAGCCAGACUUUCUCUUUGCCCUUUCCUGCAUAUGCCUGCUGGGCCUAAUCUGGAGCUCGUGGAAGUUUCUGAGAGUCUUUUUUCGAUGGAGCUGAGUAGACCUUGGACCGCCCCACAAAGUAUCUGCAUGUCUUGAGUAUGCAUUACCCAUCUGCCUUACUACUUACGUAGUUGAAUCUUUAUUAUAUUUCUUAAAACAUUUUGCAAGAGAGCUGUGCCACUGUUUUGAGGGAAUAAAACAGAAG
rnacentral:lncRNA from 1 species